rnacentral:rRNA from 1 species
AUUGAACGCUGGCGGCAGGCCUAACACAUGCAAGUCGAGCGGAGCGGCGGACGGGUGAGUAAUGCCUAGGAAUCUGCCUGGUAGUGGGGGAUAAGGUCCGGAACCGGGCGCUAAUACCGCAUACUUUAAGUUUAGCUUGGGUCGAAUUAGCUAGUUGGUGGGGUAAAGGCCUACCAAGGCGACGAUCCGUACCUGGUCCGGGAGGAGGAUCAGUCACACGGGAACUGAGACACGGUCCAGACUCCUACGGGAGGCAGCAGUGGGGAAUAUUGGACAAUGGGCGAAAGCCUGAGGCAGCCAUGCCGCGUGUGUGAAGAAGGUCUUCGGAUUGUAAAGCACUUUAAGUUGGGAGGCGUUACCAACAGAAUAAGCACCGGCUAACUUCGUGCCAGCAGCCGCGGUAAUAC